rnacentral:rRNA from 1 species
GACGAACGCUGGCGGCGUGCUUAACACAUGCAAGUCGAACGGAAAGGCCCUGCUUUUGUGGGGUGCUCGAGUGGCGAACGGGUGAGUAACACGUGAGUAACCUGCCCUUGACUUUGGGAUAACUUCAGGAAACUGGGGCUAAUACCGGAUAGGAGCUCCUGCUGCAUGGUGGGGGUUGGAAAGUUUCGGCGGUUGGGGAUGGACUCGCGGCUUAUCAGCUUGUUGGUGGGGUAGUGGCUUACCCAGGCUUUGACGGGUAGCCGGCCUGAGAGGGUGACCGGCGACAUUGGGACUGAGAUACGGACCAGACUCCUACGGGAGGCAGCAGUGGGGAAUAUGGCACAAUGGGCGGAAGCCUGAUGCAGCAACGCCGCGUGCGGGAUGACGGCCUGCGGGGUGUAAACCGCUUUCGCCUGUGACGAAGCGUGAGUGACGGUAAUGGGUAAAGAAGCACCGGCUAACUACGUG